rnacentral:rRNA from 1 species
UAGGGAAUCUUCGGCAAUGGACGAAAAGUCUGGCCGAGCAACGCCGCGUGAGUGAAGAAGGUUUUCGGAUCGUAAAACUCUGUUGGUAGAGAAGAACGUUGGUGAGAGUGGAAAGCUCAUCAAGUGGCGGUAACUACCCAGAAAGGGACGGCUAACUACGUGCCAG